rnacentral:rRNA from 1 species
ACAGGAUUAGAUACCCUGGUAGUCCACGCCGUAAACGAUGUCGACUUGGAGGUUGUGCCCUUGAGGCGUGGCUUCCGGAGCUAACGCGUUAAGUCGACCGCCUGGGGAGUACGGCCGCAAGGUUAAAACUCAAAUGAAUUGACGGGGGCCCGCACAAGCGGUGGAGCAUGUGGUUUAAUUCGAUGCAACGCGAAGAACCUUACCUGGUCUUGACAUCCACGGAAGUUUUCAGAGAUGAGAAUGUGCCUUCGGGAACCGUGAGACAGGUGCUGCAUGGCUGUCGUCAGCUCGUGUUGUGAAAUGUUGGGUUAAGUCCCGCAACGAGCGCAACCCUUAUCCUUUGUUGCCAGCGGUCCGGCCGGGAACUCAAAGGAGACUGCCAGUGAUAAACUGGAGGAAGGUGGGGAUGACGUCAAGUCAUCAUGGCCCUUACGACCAGGGCUACACACGUGCUACAAUGGCGCAUACAAAGAGAAGCGACCUCGCGAGAGCAAGCGGACCUCAUAAAGUGCGUCGUAGUCCGG